GCAGGAACCAAAGUUUGUAUUUCUUUUUUUAAUGAAAUAGAUCAAUGUACACUUGUAUAUGCAUCUCUACAAAUCUAGUUGUGACCCUCUAGAAGCUGCAAAUUGGUAGUUGAUGGCUUGUUGGUUGACGUUGGAAAUAGAAUGAUGAUGAGCAGCAAUUGCCAGCUAUGGACACCAACAACGCUCUCUCUACAUCUCUAGCAGCAUUCUGUCUGAUCAAAGCAAUUGCAAAUUCAAUAAGGUCACAAAGCAGUAUGAGUGGCCCCUUGCUUUAAACUCUUCUUCCGCCAUGUUGAAUAGCUCUUUGAUUAUUUCAUUGUUGAGAUAUUCCAAGGGAAGAAGGAAACGUUUUCCAUCUGCAGAAUACACUACAAAAUGGCCUUUCUCAGCCAUUAGUGAUGUGCUGCAAUUGCUUGUAUCUAUAAUUCCAAGGGUUUGUGGCAACGUGAUUCUUCUUCGCCUGAUAGCAGCCAUCUUCUUCCAUUUCCUUGCCAAUUUUAGAAGCUUCUUGGCAUUGAUAAUCUUGUUAGUCUAUAAGAAAGGAAUCUUUUGGGGGAAGUAAAGGAAGAAAGCUUUAGAUUCUAAAUGCUAAAAGCUAAUCUUUUGAUGGGUAGAAAGGAUUGCGAGUGACUUGAUUAUAUAUUUACAAGGUCAGACUAUCCGUUUCAAGGGGCUGCCACAAUGCAGGGGUGCACCAAAGCAAGGCCAUGUGAUGGGUGGCUGUGAAAGAUUGUUUGUGAGGCUGGCAUGUUUG
rnacentral:misc_RNA from 1 species